UUGAAUUGUAGGAGCGGUUGACUGGGUGUUUACUGUAUAGUGUCUCCAUAUAUUUUCCUCCUUUUUUGGGGGAAGUUUUCCGAAUUAAGGUUUCAAGUUUUAGUUAGGGCUUGGAAUUGAUGGAGCCUCGUGUCGGUAAUAAGUUCGACUUGGUCGUAAGAUCGGUAGCGGCUCUUUUGGAGUGAUCUAUUUGGGUACGAAUAUUCUGACAAAUGAAGAGGUUGCCAUUAAGCUUGAGAACGUGAAGACAAAGCAUCCUCAAUUGUUAUAUGAAUCGAAGUUAUACAGAAUCCUGCAGGGAGGAACCAGGAUUCUAAAUAUAAGAUGGUUUGGAGUAGAGGGAGAUUAUAAUGUUAUGGUUAUGGAUUUGCUUGGACCUUACACUGUAAAUAUUGUGGCAUCAUUUCAGACUAGCUGUUACAUAUCAGGAAUUGCUCUUUUUGGUGAUUCUUUGGUUGUUCUAGCCUAUAUUCUUGGUGAAGAAGAUGGAGAAAAGGAAUUUAGUUGCACAAUACCUUCAAGACAGCAGGGAAAUGCACAGAGACCAGAGGUUCGCAUUGUGUCUUGGAACAAUGAUGAAUUAGAAACUGAUGCCCUACCAGUACAUGGCUUUGAGCACUAUAAAGCAAUGGAUUAUUCAUUGGCACAUGCUCCCUUCUCAGGCAGCAGUUAUGCCGGUGGAUAGUGGGCUGCCGGUGAUGAACCAAUAUACUAUAUUGUAUCACCAAAGGAUGUUGUCAUAGCGAAACCUAGGUUGUCCCGUUGAUGAUUGUAGAUUGUAAACAAGCAAAUAAUUUGUUGCUUCAAAAUCGGGAGUUAAUUACACCAUCUGAAGUUGUUUCACAGCUUCUGAAUACUAGAAAAAGUGUGAUACGACAGCCUUUUCUUAGGAACAUACCCAACAGUGCACGCAAAGCUUGUUGAUUUUCAAAAAGAACUUGUAAACUUGCAGGUUGUGGAGAAUAAUCCCAAAUACUGGGAAGUUAUGUCAUCAACACUUGUUGUGGGUUGGCUAGAUAUUGUGAGAUCGGGUUUGCAUUGCCAUGGAUGAGGCCUUUUCAAGUGGCAUGCCAAUUGGAGUAAGACCUCAUGAAGCAAAAUAUCUGUGCAAGAAAUGACAGGACGAUACUAGCUCUACAUCAUUGUUUUCCCAUAUAAACUGGAUUUAUCUCUUUGAAUUUAAGCGCCUCAUUGUGACGAAGAGUUUUGAAGAAUGUGUAAGAUUAGAAACAAAAUA